rnacentral:lncRNA from 1 species
GGAUUUGUUCUAUCAACACCACGUAGUUGUAUGUUCUUAUUCAUUUUUACUGUAGCAAAGUGACAGUUGUUAAUCAAAAGAAAAAAACUUGCCUCCCUGCAGUAUAUGCAUAUUAAAAAAAAAAAGACAAAAAAUAAUUUCAUAUCAAAUUCAAAUGUAUGCUUAUGUAAUGCCACCUCACUGCGACAAAAAAUAAUUUCAUAUCAAAUUCAAAAUAUUAAAAAAAAAAAGACAAAAAAUAAUUUCAUAUCAAAUUCAAAUGUAUGCUUAUGUAAUGCCACCUCACUGCACUUUACUAUCUCCCACGUGAUGUGCACAAUUAUUUCAUAUUUUUAUUUAUUUUUUCAGUUAAAUA